rnacentral:lncRNA from 1 species
AAGAGACAGCGCCGCCGGCCGUGGGGAGCGGACGCAGCGAUUUGCUCCCCUUCGCGCAGCAACCCCCACACCCAGCACCAGGCCCCCAGAACUCUCCUUCCAGCUGAACUCUCUGAGAACAAGUCAGUUGGGCUGAUCACUGAACUCACAUUUCUGGACCUGAGGAGCCUGUUCCUCUCACACCCUCACCUGGCUGAGCCGCAGUAGUUCUUCAGUGGCAAGCUUUAUGUCCUGACCCAGCUAAAGCUGCCAGUUGAAGAACUGUUGCCCUCUGCCCCUGGCUUCGAGGAGGAGGAGGAGCUGCUUUCCCCAUCAUCUGGAAGGUGACAGAAAUGGGCUGGGAAGGUCCGAACAGCAGGGUUGAUGAUACGUUUUGGGAAAGUUGUAGAGCCUUUGCCCAGAUUGGCCCAGCAAGGAGCGGUUUUAGAUUAGAGACACUGGCUGAAUUGAGGAGUAGAAGGCUCAAACAACCCAAGGCUUUCUGCCUCCGAGAUGUGGCACCAUAGUGCAGUGCCCUGUGGCUUCACCGCCCUACUUCCACCUCCGCCCAGCCUGUAAUGUUUAUAAAAGCAGCCUCAAGGACCAAGAACCAUCUGCGAAAGGACACACACAGGAAAUUCAUAAAAGAAAUCUGAAUGGAUAAAACCAUGAAAAAAAUGUAUGCUUCAUUAGUAAUUAAAGAAAGGCAAAUAGAGCUGAAAGCAUUUUUCCCUUAGCAAGCCAUGACAGAAAAAAAUAAGACCCAAUAUUGGCAAAGAGACUACUGAAAAAACAUUCCCAUACAUUGCGUGUGGGAGUAUACAUCGGUGCAGGCUUCCUGGAUGACAGUUGGGUGAUAUGUGUCAUGUGGCCUAGAAGCCUCCAUGUCAUUUGACAUACGAAUUCUAUCUUUGAGAAUUUAUCCUAGGAAAAUACUUAAGGAUUUAGUUAGUGAUAAGAUGUUCAUCCCAGCAUUGCAAUGGAGAAAAAUGGGAAGCAAUGGUUUGGUUGGGAAUUUAUUCCUUUUCUGCUGUAACGAAAGUUUGCAAUAGGGGAUUGCUUAAGUAAAUUAUUGUAUCUCCAUCCAGAUGGUGGAGUACCGCGCAGACAUUAAAAGUCAUGUAAAAGAACAUCUGACUGAAAGAAAAAUGCUCCUUGAAUAUUAAAAGGUUGUAAAAAUAGUGCAUAUUAUGUGAUUUCAAUUUUGUUUUUUAAAAUAUGGGUGUAUCCUUGUAUACGUAGAGCAGAUAAAAAAGAUGGAAGGCAUGCUAAAAAAAAAUGUUUAGUGGUUAUCUUUGUAUGGUGGAACAAAGUCACUGUAAUUUUCAUCUGGUUUUUCUGUAAUUUCCAAAUUUUCUACAUUGUGUAUUUCAUAUAAUAAAUAUAAUUUAAGAGAUUGGUGUUAU